rnacentral:rRNA from 1 species
UUUCGGCAGUAGCGGGGUAGUAGGACUGCGACAUUGAUGAAAUAAAUGAAAUGGAACACUUUGGAAAAUGUGAUCACAGAGGGUGAUAAUCCCGUACAUGCAAGUUUAUGAAUCAUAGCAGACUCCUGAGUAAGUCGGGACACGUGUAAUCCUGACCGAAUCCGCCGGGACCAUCCGGUAAGGCUAAAUACUCCCGAGAGACCGAUAGUGAACCAGUACCGUGAGGGAAAGGUGAAAAGCACUUCGAACAGAAGAGUGAAAUAGUCCCUGAACCCAUACGCCUACAAGCAGUCGGAGCCGCUUCGUGCGGUGACGGCGUGCCUUUUGCAUAAUGAGCCUACGAGUUACUCAUCACCAGCGAGGUUAAGUACUUCAGGUACGUAAGCCGAAGCGAAAGCGAGUCUGAAUAGGGCGUCAAGUUGGUGGUGGUAGACGCGAAACCUAGUGAUCUACCCAUGGGCAGGGUGAAGGUUUGGUAACACAAACUGGAGGCCCGAACCGGUAAACGUUGAAAAGUUUUCGGAUGACCUGUGGGUAGGGGUGAAAGGCCAAUCAAACUGGGAAAUAGCUCGUACUCUCCGAAAUGCAUUUAGGUGCAGCCUCUGUUGUUUUGUUCUAGAGGUAGAGCUACUGAUUGGAUGCGAGGGCUUCACCGCCUAUCAAAUCCGGCCAAACUCCGAAUGCUAGAACAUGAAGACAGGGAGUGAGCCAGCGGGUGCUAAGGUCCGUUGACGAAAGAGGGAGAACUCAGACCAUCAGCUAAGGUCCCCAAUUAUAUGCUAAGUUGGAAUAAAAACGGGGUGGGACUGCUUAGACAGCUAGGAUGUUGGCUUGGAAGCAGCCAUUCAUUUAAAGAGUGCGUAACAGCUCACUAGUCGAGCGGUCCUGCAUGGAUAAUACGCGGGCAUAAGCAUAUAACCGAAGCUAUGGGAUUGUAGAUGAUACAAUCGGUAGGAGAGCAUUCCAUUCAGCAUAGAAGCAGUACCGUGAGGUAUUGUGGAGCGGAUGGAAAAGCAAAUGUAGGCAUAAGUAACGAUAAUGCGGGUGAGAACCCCGCACGCCGAAAGAUCAAGGAUUCCCCGGCAAUGUCAAUCAUCCGGGGGUAAGUCGGAUCCUAAGGGUAAGCCGAGUGGCGAUCCCGAUGGUAAACAGGUUAAUAUUCCUGUACUGAUCAUAACUGCGAUGCAGCGACGCAGAGGUGACACUGCUGCGUACUGACGGAAUAGUACGUUGAAACCCGUAUUCUUUGAUACCGGUAGUGAAGCACGCCGGUAGAGAUGAAAGGUGAUAGUACCGCAAUGCUUCGGUUGCGCGGAUAACGCAGGUAAGCUGACUGCCAAGAAAACCUGCUAAGCUUCAGGUAAUGAUCAUCCGUACUGUAAACGGACACACGUGAUCAGGUAGAAAAUACUAAGGCGCUGAGAGAUUCAUGGUUAAGGAACUAGGCAAAAUGGUCCUGUAACUUCGGGAUAAAGGACGCUCUUGUGAAAGAGCCGCAGAUAAUAGGCCCAGGCGACUGUUUACCAAAAACACAUGGCUAUGCUAAUUCGCAAGAAGAUGUAUAUGGCCUGACACCUGCCCGGUGCCGGAAGGUUAAGAGGAGAGCUCAGAGGUAACUCGAAGGUUUGAAUUGAAGCCCCGGUAAACGGCGGCCGUAACUAUAACGGUCCUAAGGUAGCGAAAUUCCUUGUCGGGUAAGUUCCGACCUGCACGAAUGGUGUAACGAUCUGGGUACUGUCUCAACCAUGAGCUCGGUGAAAUUGUAGUUCCGGUGAAGAUGCCGGA